rnacentral:sRNA from 2 species
AGAUGUCCUCGUUAGGUGAGGCUCCUAUACGAACACAAGCCACUGCCCGGAAACAUCGAAAGAUGCCAAUGGGUUGAACAGGAAUUGCCGGACUAAGGCUCUUCUUAACGUGGCUAAAGGACGAAGGUUCUUUUACGUCGUAUAGUGCCAAAGCUCGGUUGGGGGGGUUCGUU